rnacentral:rRNA from 1 species
AGAGUUUGAUCCUGGCUCAGGACGAACGCUGGCGGCGUGCUUAACACAUGCAAGUCGAACGCUGAAGCAUCUUCGGGUGUGGAUGAGUGGCGAACGGGUGAGUAACACGUGGGUAAUCUGCCCUGCACUCUGGGAUAAGCCCUGGAAACGGGGUCUAAUACCGGAUAGGACACGUGGCCGCAUGGUCUGCGUGUGGAAAGUUCCGGCGGUGCAGGUUGAGCCCGCGGCCUAUCAGCUUGUUGGUGGGGUGAUGGCCUACCAAGGCGACGACGGGUAGCCGGCCUGAGAGGGUGACCGGCCACACUGGGACUGAGACACGGCCCAGACUCCUACGGGAGGCAGCAGGUGGGGAAUCUUGCGCAAUGGGACGAAAGCCUGACGCAGCAACGCCGCGUGGGGGAUGACGGCCUUCGGGUUGUAAACCUCUUUCGACAUCGACGAAGCCUUCGGGUGACGGUAGAUGUAGAAGAAGCACCGGCUAACUACGUG